rnacentral:rRNA from 1 species
UACGUAGGUCCCGAGCGUUGUCCGGAUUUAUUGGGCGUAAAGCGAGCGCAGGUGGUUUAUUAAGUCUGGUGUAAAAGGCAGUGGCUCAACCAUUGUAUGCAUUGAAACUGGUAGACUUGAGUGCAGGAGAGGAGAGUGGAAUUCCAUGUGUAGCGGUGAAAUGCGUAGAUAUAUGGAGGAACACCGGUGGCGAAAGCGGCUCUCUGGCCUGUAACUGACACUGAGGCUCGAAAGCGUGGGGAGCAAACAGG